UGGGGUAACGGCUCACCUAGGCGACGAUCCCUAGCUGGUCUGAGAGGAUGACCAGCCACACUGGAACUGAGACACGGUCCAGACUCCUACGGGAGGCAGCAGUGGGGAAUAUUGCACAAUGGGCGCAAGCCUGAUGCAGCCAUGCCGCGUGUAUGAAGAAGGCCUUCGGGUUGUAAAGUACUUUCAGCGGGGAGGAAGGGAGUAAAGUUAAUACCUUUGCUCAUUGACGUUACCCGCAGAAGAAGCACCGGCUAACUCCGUGCCAGCAGCCGCGGUAAUACGGAGGGUGCAAGCGU
rnacentral:rRNA from 1 species